rnacentral:rRNA from 1 species
GAUGAACGCUGGCGGCGUGCCUAAUACAUGCAAGCCGAGCGAACGGACGAGAAGCUUGCUUCUCUGAUGUUAGCGGCGGACGGGUGAGUAACACGUGGAUAACCUACCUAUAAGACUGGGAUAACUUCGGGAAACCGUAGCUAAUACCAGAUAAUAUUUUGAACCGCAUGGUUCAAAAGUGAAAGACGGUCUUGCUGUCACUUAUAGAUGGAUCCGCGCUGCAUUAGCUAGUUGGUAAGGUAACGGCUUACCAAGGCAACGAUGCAUAGCCGACCUGAGAGGGUGAUCGGCCACACUGGAACUGAGACACGGUCCAGACUCCUACGGGAGGCAGCAGUAGGGAAUCUUCCGCAAUGGGCGAAAGCCUGACGGAGCAACGCCGCGUGAGUGAUGAAGGUCUUCGGAUCGUAAAACUCUGUUAUUAGGGAAGAACAUAUGUGUAAGUAACUGUGCACAUCUUGACGGUACCUAAUCAGAAAGCCACGGCUAACUACGUG